rnacentral:rRNA from 1 species
GACGAACGCUGGCGGCGUGCUUAACACAUGCGAGUCGUACGGUAAGGCCCUUUCGGGGGUACACGAGUGGCGAACGGGUGAGUAACACGUGAGUAACCUGCCCACAACUUUGGGAUAACGCUAGGAAACUGGUGCUAAUACUGGAUAUGUGCCCCUGCUGCAUGGUGGGGGUUGGAAAGCUCCGGCGGUUGUGGAUGGACUCGCGGCCUAUCAGCUUGUUGGUGGGGUAGUGGCCUACCAAGGCGGCGACGGGUAGCCGGCCUGAGAGGGUGACCGGCCACAUUGGGACUGAGAUACGGCCCAGACUCCUACGGGAGGCAGCAGUGGGGAAUAUUGCACAAUGGGCGCAAGCCUGAUGCAGCAACGCCGCGUGCAGGAUGACGGCCUUCGGGUUGUAAACCGCUUUCAGCAGGGACGAAGCUUUUUGUGACGGUACCUGCAGAAGAAGCACCGGCUAACUACGUG